CCUACGGGUGGCAGCAGUGAGGAAUAUUGGUCAAUGGCCGGAAGGCUGAACCAGCCAUGCCGCGUGAAGGUCAGUGCCCUAUGGGCGUUAAACUUCUUUUGUGCGGGAGCAAUAAUGGUCACGUGUGGCCAGACGAGAGUACCGUACGAAUAAGCAUCGGCUAACUCCGUGCCAGCAGCCGCGGUAAUACGGGGGAUGCAAGCGUUAUCCGGAUUUAUUGGGUUUAAAGGGUGCGUAGGCUGGGAGGUAAGUCAGCGGUGAAAUGCCCCCGCGCAACGGGGUGAAGUGCCAUUGAUACUGCCUGGCUGGAGUGCGGAUGCCGUGGGAGGAAUCUGUGGUGUAGCGGUGAAAUGCAUAGAUAUCACACAGAACACCGAUUGCGAAGGCAUCUCACGAAUCCGCGAUUGACGCUGAUGCACGAAAGCGUGGGUAUCAAACAGGAUUAGAUACCCCUGUAGUC
rnacentral:rRNA from 1 species